CCCUAGCCCCGAUAGUAGUGGAAAUCCUUUUGUGCCGGGGUUCGGCACAAAAGAUUGGAACGGAUAGCGGGAACUAGC
rnacentral:sRNA from 1 species